rnacentral:rRNA from 1 species
UACGUAGGGUGCAAGCGUUGUCCGGAAUUAUUGGGCGUAAAGAGCUCGUAGGCGGUCUGUCGCGUCUGCUGUGAAAACUCAGGGCUUAACCCUGAGCUUGCAGUGGGUACGGGCAGACUAGAGUGCGGUAGGGGAGACUGGAAUUCCUGGUGUAGCGGUGAAAUGCGCAGAUAUCAGGAGGAACACCGGUGGCGAAGGCGGCCUGCUGGGCUAUGGCUGACACUGAGGCGCGACAGCGUGGGGAGCAAACAGG